rnacentral:misc_RNA from 1 species
UGCUGCCGUUGAUAUCUAUGGCUCGUCUGAAAUGCCUGAGUGUACCCCGCCUUGCGGCGUAUUCGGUGUGAUACAUCUUCACCGGAGUUGAUCCUUAUGGGUCGCGUCUGUAAUGUGUGGCUCUAUGCUUCCAACCGUCUUUCAUGGACAAUCUCUGACAAUUUGACCUCAAAUCGGGUGGGACUACCCGCUGAACUUAA